rnacentral:tRNA from 1 species
CCCCUACUUACUAGUAAUAGUAUUUCAUACUAGUAAUAGUAUUUCAUACUUUAGUUAAAGUUCAUUUUUAAAAAUUUUUUAAACUAAAA